GAAAGGUCCAUAUUAAAGACGAUAGAGCAGAAAGAGUGAAGUGGAAGAGAUCUUGCAACAUUUCCUGCCCCACUGACCCCCUACUUUGGGCCUUAGCCCCAAGAGAAGAAGUAUGACUACCCUACUGUUCACAAACAAAGAUGUGGAAUCAACCUAAGUGUCCAUCAAUGGAUAAUUGGAUAAAGAAAAUGUGGCAUAGAUCUAUACAAUGGAAUACUAUUCAGCUAUAAAAAAGACUGAAAUCACAUCUUUUACAAAAACAUGGAUGAAACUGGAGGCCAUUCUCUUUAAGUGAAAUCACUCGGAAAUAGAAAGUCAAAUACCGCAUGUUCUCACUUACAAGUGGGAGCUACAUAAUAUGUACUCAUGGACAUAGAGUGUGGAAUGAUGGACAUUGGAGACUUGGAAGGGUGGAGGUGGAUGGGAGGGGUUGAGGGAUGAGAAAUUAUUUAAUAGGUACAAUGUAUAUUAUUUCGGUGAUGGUUACACUAAAAACCCAGACUUCACCACUGGGCAAUAUAUCCGUGUAAUAAAACUGCAUUUGUACCCCUUAAAUUUAUACAACUAAU
rnacentral:lncRNA from 10 species